AAUCAACGCUGGCGGCGUGCCUCAGACAUGCAAGUCGAACGCGAAAGUUCCCUUCGGGGAGCGAGUAGAGUGGCGUCCGGGUGAGUAACACGUAGGUAAUCUACCUUUGGGUGGGGAAUAACAACCGGAAACGGUUGCUAAUACCGCAUAAUGCAGCGGCACCGCAUGGUGACAGUUGUUAAAGCGGGGGAUCGCAAGACCUCGCGCCUAAAGAGGAGCCUGUGGCGGAUUAGCAGUUGGCAGGGUAACGGCCUACCAAGGCAACGAUCCGUAGCCGGCCUGAGAGGGCGGACGGACACACCGGGACUGAGACACGGCCCAGACUCCUACGGGAGGCAGCAGUGGGGAAUUUUUCGCAAUGGGGGCAACCCUGACGAAGCAACGCCGCGUGGGGAUGAAGGUCUUCGG
rnacentral:rRNA from 1 species